GCGUGAGUUUGCAUUUGGAGCAAACCCAUUCUCACCCUGUGGACUUCACGGAGUGGCCCAGGCCAGAGCAGACUGUAACCUGAACCUUGCCCAUAGGCCAGGGGCACUGAACUCAGUUGUGCAGUG
rnacentral:snoRNA from 1 species